UACAGAGGUCUCAAGCGUUGUUCGGAUUCAUUGGGCGUAAAGGGCGCGUAGGCGGCGGGGUAAGUCUGGUGUGAAAUCUCGGAGCUCAACUCCGAAAUUGCACUGGAUACUGCUCUGCUUGAGGGUUGGAGAGGAGAUCGGAAUUCACGGUGUAGCAGUGAAAUGCGCAGAUAUCAGGAGGAACACCAAUUGCGAAGGCAGCUCGCUGGGACGUUACUGACGCUGAGACGCGAAAGCGUGGGGAGCAAACAGG
rnacentral:rRNA from 1 species